rnacentral:rRNA from 1 species
AUUGAACGCUGGCGGCAGGCCUAACACAUGCAAGUCGAACGCGUGGCGGACGUGUGAGAAAUGUCUGAGAAAAUGCCUGAGGGAGGGGGAUAACUAGUGGAAACGGUAGCUAAUCCCACAUUCCAUAAGAUGUGCCCAGAUGGGAGUAGCUUGGUGGUGGGAUAACGGCUCACCAAGGCGACGCUCCCUAGCGGGUGUUAGAGGAUGAACAUCCACACUGGAACUGAGACACGGUCCAGACUUCUACGGGAGGCAGCAGUGGGGAAUAUUGCACAAUGGGCGCACGCCUGAUGCAGCCAUGCCGCGUGUAUGAAGAAGGCCUUCGGGUUGUAAAGUACUUUCAGCGGUGAGGCGUUACCCGCAGAAGAAGCACCGGCUAACUCCGUGCCAGCAGCCGCGGUAAUAC